rnacentral:rRNA from 1 species
AUUGAACGCUGGCGGCAGGCCUAACACAUGCAAGUCGAACGAGUGGCGGACGGGUGAGUAAUGUCUGGGAAACUGCCUGAUGGAGGGGGAUAACUACUGGAAACGGUAGCUAAUACCGCAUACCAUCAGAUGUGCCCAGAUGGGAUUAGCUAGUAGGUGGGGUAACGGCUCACCUAGGCGACGAUCCCUAGAUGGUCUGAGAGGAUGACCGGCCACACGGGAACUGAGACACGGUCCAGACUCCGACGGGAGGAAUCAGUGGGGAAUAUUGCACAAUGGGCGCAAGCCGGAUGCAGCCAUGCCGCGUGGGUGAAGAAGGCCUUCGGGUUGUAAAGCACUUUCAGCGGGGAGGCGUUACCCGCAGAAGAAGCACCGGCUAACUCCGUGCCAGCAGCCGCGGUAAUUC